rnacentral:rRNA from 1 species
UAGGGAAUAUUGCGCAAUGGGGGAAACCCUGACGCAGCGACGCCGCGUGAGUGAUGAAGGCCUUCGGGUCGUAAAGCUCUGUUGCAAGGGAAUAAAAAAAUGAAUGUACCUUGUGAGGAAGGAUCGGCUAACUUCGUGCCAGCAGCCGCGGUAAGACGAGGGAUCCUAGCGUUGUUCGGAAUCAUUGGGCGUAAAGCGGGUGUAGGUGGCUUGGUAAGUCGGGUGUGAAAGCCCAGGGCUCAACCCUGGAAGUGCAUUCGAUACUGCUGAGCUUGAGUGUUGGAGAGGUCAUCGGAAUACCUGGUGUAGUGGUGAAAUACGUAGAUAUCAGGUGGAACACCGGAGGCGAAGGCGGGUGACUGGCCAAACACUGACACUGAGACCCGAAAGUGUGGGGAUCAAACAGG